rnacentral:rRNA from 1 species
GAUGAACGCUCGCGGCAGGCCUAACACAUGCAAGUCGAGGGAUAAGCCUUCGGGCUAAGACCGGCGCACGGGUGCGUAACGCGUAUACAAUCUGCCUUUUAUCCGGGGGAUAGCCCGAAGAAAUUUGGAUUAAUACCCUAUGGUAUAAGAGCACGGCAUCGUGCACUUAUUAAAGCUACGGCGGUAAAAGAUGAGUAUGCGUUCUAUUAGCUAGUUGGAGAGGUAACGGCUCCCCAAGGCGACGAUAGAUAGGGGUUCUGAGAGGGAUGUCCCCCACACUGGUACUGAGAUACGGACCAGACUCCUACGGGAGGCAGCAGUGAGGAAUAUUGGACAAUGGUCGGAAGACUGAUCCAGCCAUGCCGCGUGCAGGAUGACGGCCUUAUGGGUUGUAAACUGCUUUUGUAAGGGAAGAAUAAGGAGUACGUGUACUUUGAUGACGGUACCUUACGAAUAAGCAUCGGCUAACUCCGU